AGGCUAGAGUGCAGUGGCACAAUCUUGGCUCACUGCAACCUCCGCUUCCCAGAUUCAAGCGAUUCGCCUGUCCCCCACAAGAGUGGUACAUGAUACAGUCAAUAAACCUACACUGACACAUCGUUAUUACUCAAAGUCCAUAGUUCACUUUAGGGCUCACUCUUGAUGUUGUAUAUUCUAUGAGUUUGGACUAUGUAUAAUGACUAUCUUUAUAGUGUCAUGAAGAAUAGUUUCACUGCCCUAAAAAUCCUCUGUCUUCUGGCUAUUCAUCCUUCCUCUCCCCUAACCCCUGGAAACCACUAACCUUUUUACUGUCUCCACAGUUUUGCCCUCUCUACUCUUUUCCAUUGGUCUAUGUGCCUGUUUUUGUACCAGUACCAUGCUGUUUUGGUUAUUGUAGCCCUGUAGUAU
rnacentral:lncRNA from 1 species